rnacentral:rRNA from 1 species
UAGUCCACACCGUAAACGAUGAGAGCUAGUUGUCUGCAGGCAUGCCUGUAGGUGACGCAGCUAACGCAUUAAGCUCUCCGCCUGGGGAGUACGGUCGCAAGAUUAAAACUCAAAGGAAUUGACGGGGACCCGCACAAGCGGUGGAGCAUGUUGUUUAAUUCGACGCAACGCGAAGAACCUUACCUACACUUGACAUACUCGUCGGGACUUUCAGAGAUGAUUGUCUUCGGUUCGGCCGGACGAUGUACAGGUGCUGCACGGCUGUCGUCAGCUCGUGUCGUGAGAUGUUUGGUUAAGUCCAGCAACGAGCGCAACCCCUAUCGUAUGUUGCCAGCAUUCAGUUGGGCACUCAUGCGAGACUGCCGGUGUUAAGCCGGAGGAAGGUGGGGACGACGUCAAGUCAUCAUGGCCCUUACGUGUAGGGCUACAAACGUGCUACAAUGGGAGUUACAGUGGGCAGCGACGUCGCGAGGCGAAGCUAAUCCCU